rfam:Patagioenas fasciata monilis isolate BTP2013 Sc31e1R_24, whole genome shotgun sequence.
AUACUCUGGUUUCUCUUCAGAUCGUAUAAAUCUUUCGCCUUUUACUAAAGAUUUCCGUGGAGAGGAGCAAGUACGAGUGUCGAUCAAUUUUUUGAGGCUCCAUUUCGGUGGAGCU